ACKGCUCAGUAACACGUGGACAACCUGCCCUUGAGACGGGGAUAAACCCGGGAAACUGGGUAUAAUACCCGAUAGAUCUCGAUUGCUGGAAUGCAUCGAGCUUGAAAGCUCCGGCGCUCAAGGAUGGGUCUGCGGCCUAUCAGGUAGUAGUGGGUGUAGCGUACCUACUAGCCUACGACGGGUACGGGUUGUGAGAGCAAGAGCCCGGAGAUGGAUUCUGAGACACGAAUCCAGGCCCUACGGGGCGCAGCAGGCGCGAAAACUUUACAAUGCGAGAAAUCGUGAUAAGGGAACCCCGAGUGCCCGUAAAUCCGGGCUGUCCGCCAGUGUAAAUAACUGGUGAAGAAAGGGCCGGGCAAGACCGGUGCCAGCCGCCGCGGUAAUACCGGCGGCUCGAGUGGUGGCCGCUAUUACUGGGCUUAAAGCGUUCGUAGCUGGGCUGUUAAGUCCCCUGGGAAAUCCACCGGCUCAACCGAUGGGCGUUCAGGGGAUACUGGCAGCCUAGGGACCGGGAGAGGUGAGGGGUACUCCAGGGGUAGGAGUGAAAUCCUGUAAUCCUUGGGGGACCACCUGUGGCGAAGGCGUCUCACUAGAACGGCUCCGACAGUGAGGAACGAAAGCUGGGGGAGCAAACCGGAUUAGAUACCCGGGUAGUCCCAGCUGUAAACGAUGCGCGUUAGGUGUAUCGGUGACCACGAGUCACCGAGGUGCCGAAGAGAAAUCGUGAAACGUGCCGCCUGGGAGGUACGGUCGCAAGGCUGAAACUUAAAGGAAUUGGCGGGGGAGCAC
rnacentral:rRNA from 1 species